UAUUAAAUAGACAAUGAGUUUGAAUAAAAUAUCAUAUAUUUUAUUAAAUACACAACGAGUUUGUUCAAUAAUGUUUACAAACUAUAAGACCUUACGAGAUUUAGGGCAUUAACCCCAACACUUUUCAUAUGAGUCUAAACCAGGAUUGGUUUCAACACUUCAAGGAGAUUAAUAGGGGAAGGUUCUUCUAGAAAAUUAUCAAGAAUGCAGUGUUGAAGGAAUUGGAACAGUUCUAGUGAAGAUAAUUGAUGGACAGAUCAAGGAGCUCACUUUAGUAAGGUAGUCAAUCACGAUUUCAAUCUUAGUCCAAGCUCGAACUGAUCCUCAAAUUUUUAGACCUUGAAUUGAUUUCCAUCAAAUUGCUCCAUGAACACCACGUCGGGGUCAAAAUUUCAAGGACGAUUAUCAAUCUCUCCUUAUUGUAUAAAUCCUUGUAGUGUUGAGGGUGAAGAGAGAAGAGAAAAGGUAGCAACGGUCGAAGAGGAAAGCAAUGAAUGAUAAUGGAAAUCCUCAUCAAUUGUGAGGAAAAAGAAGGCGGGAAGCAUAAAAGAAAUGAGAAUGAUAAGUCUCCCCUAGAAUAAAUCAAUUGAAAUUUGUAUGUUUGUCUACUCAUCAAUAGACAAUUAAUAACUUAACUUC